GCUAGGUUUUUGUCUGUGUUGUCCAGGAAGCUCUGCAGUGGUGACCUGCAGGACCUGGACUCAGUCAUUGUUCACUUGCAUUUCUGUCACUUUCAUUUGUUCUUUUUAUGUUUUGUUACCUUUUAUUUUCUAUUUUAUUUUGUUCUUCCCCCAUUAACAUUUUUCCCAUUUUGUGUUUGUUUUCCUUAUAUUUCAUUUCUUUUUUAGACUGAUUUUCUUUUCACCACUCCUCUCUUAUUUCUUAUUAUUCUUUUCCCUUAUUUUCCUUUUUAAUAUUUGUUUAUUUAUUUAUCUAUCCAUCUAUCUAUCUAUCUAUUAGAAAGGCAGAGUGACAGAGAGACAGAGAUCUCUCUGCUGGUUCACUCUCCAAACAGCCACAGUGACCGGGACUGUGACAUGUGAAAGCCAGGAGCCUGGAACUCUGUCCAUUCUCUCAGGCCAUAACAGAGAGCUGGAUCAGAAGAGGAGCAGCUGGGACUUGAGCUGAUGCCCAAAUGAGAUGCCAGCACUGCUUUACCUGCUGUACCACAGAAAUGGCCCCGCUGCCCAGCUCUUAACACUUCUGGGCCCCAUUCUGGGCAACCAACAUGCCAGCACAUGACAAGAACUCAUCCAGGUGCCAGUUGGACUGUCAUCUCCAAGCUGUGCCUUCGGAAAGACAAUGAUGGAUGUUUUAUUUUCACCUUCAAAGAAGCAAGAGGAAAGUAAGAAAGAUGUGGAAGAGUGAAUAAAGAUUUGUUGAGCACUAGGCUGGACAUCUGAUAUGAGCUGUCUCAGUUGAUCUUUACCACCCUACACGUGAGAUAAACAUUAUCCAUACUUGCAAAUGAUGAAGAGGUACAGAGAAGCUACAUCAUUGAGGUCACACUGCUGGAGAGCAAUGCAGUGGAAUUUCAAUGUGAUCUAUCAGAAUGAAGAGCUCAAGCGUAUUUGUGAUGUGUUUCGCAGAAAGAAAUGCAAGGUAUCUCUCCAUGGUAUGGGUAAUGAAAAGAGACACAAUGAGACACAAAGUUUAUUGAAGGCCAAGAAAAGACACACAGUCAGGGCCGGCACUGUGGCAUAGUGGGUAAAGCCGCUGCCUGCAGUGCUGGCAUUCCAUAAUGGCGGCUGGUUCAAGUCCCAGCUGCUCCACUUCUGAUCCAGCUCUCUGCUAUGGCCUGGAAAAGCAGUAGAAAAUGGCCCAAGUCCUUGGGCUCCUGCACCCGCAUGGGAGACCCGAAAGAAACUCCUGGCUCUUGGUUUUGGAGUAGCCCAGGUCCAACUGUUGAGGCCAUUUAAGAAGUGAACCAGCAGAUGGAAAACCUAUCUCUUGCUCACUUGCUCACUCUCUCUGCCUUUGCUUCUCUGUAACUCUGCCUUUCAAGUAAAUAAAUAAAAUCUUUAAAAAAAGGAAGACAUAAAGUCAUAUUUACAGAUGCAGUAUUUCUUUAAUAGUAUUGACACUUUAAAAAAAAUGAACAUUGUAAGCAAGCAAAUCAUGAGUGUCAUGCAAUCAGAGAAACCAAGGCAACAAGGCAAGAGAUUCAAGGUCCACCCAGAUAUGAAGGGAAACAAAGAAAAUUUGAGCAGGAGAAGCCCACCUAAACUCACAUGCUAAGAGAUUGCAAGCCAGAGCAGACCUGUACAACAUGGGGAUUCUGUCGUCCCAGUCACAGCUGCCUCAUUUUUUUUCCAUCUUAGCAAGCCAUCUAAUCAAUGGCCUGGAAACAAGGGGCAAACUGUUGGCCCAGGAAACCAAGUUGAGGAAAGUCAGAGCAGGCAACUCUUAAGAAAAAAAGAUUCUCACCCUGGAAGUUGGUGAUUACAUUCUACAAGGCUGAUGUGUCUAUUCAACAUAAAAUUAACUUCAAAAUCACUUCUAGGUGAUUUCUACUUGCCAUUUUCCAGAUAUAGAAAGGAGACACAGACCAGAGAGAGAAGUUUGAAGAAUGACACCCAUCUAUUUCCAUUCACACUCUGAUCUGAAUAUUCCCAAAAUGCUAUUAUUUUUUCUUCGUAUUUUCCUUAAUGUUUUAACACAAUGGCCAAAUAAAUGAGUUUGCAUCUUACUCUCAGAACAAAAUUUCUUAACUGUGAUGUGUGGGAUUCAUUGUUUUUGUAACACAGUAGGAGCUGUAACCUAAGGUAUCUUCUGCUGUGGGCAGGGUCCCACAGAGGCAUGAGAAUAAACUGUGUUUCUCACUUGCAUGUACAAGAGAAGACAUACAUUGAUUACAUGAUUAAAUUCCCUACCACCGUUGAUUAAAAAAAAAUUCUUCACUGCAUGAACAUGCACUACAGAGGUGCAAUGUGAUUUCCAAGAAAAAAAGAAAACUUUUUAAAACAAAACCUUUUUAAUACAAUUAUCAAUUUUCAACUCCAUUCUUGAUUGCUUGUAAGGACAUGUGAAAACACCGUUUAUUUCUGGCACUAAAUACCCAGAGAGGAAGUGCCCUUUAUUCUAAGGAAGCAAAUAGCGAAACAGGGAAUCAGCAAUGCAGGUGGAGUACUGAUUUUUUUUGAUCUUUAUAGGAAGAGAUCCCUCUAAUAGUAAAAAACAGAGUUGAAGGUCUGAAAUAAAACCUUAAGUCAUUCCUUGAGGGUGAGGACCUGCAUAAUCUACUUCUGUAUCCACUGAAAGAGUAGAAGGCAAGAAUAUGAGAUUUUGUCUAAAACAGUAUUUAUCUGCAUGUUUAAGAAUCUAUUCAGGCCGGCGCCGUGGCUCACUAGGCUAAUCCUACGCCUUGCGGCGCCGGCACACCGGGUUCUAGUCCCGGUCGGAGAUUCUGUCCCGGUUGCCCCUCUUCCAGGCCAGCUCUCUGCUGUGACCAGGGAGUGCAGUGGAGGAUGGUCCGAGUACUUGGGCCCUGCACCCCAUGGGAGACCAGGAUAAGUACCUGGCUCCUGCCUCCGGAUCAGCGCGGUGCGCAGGCCGCAGCGCACCGGCCGUGGCAGCCAUUGGAGGGUGAACCAACGGCAAAGGAAGACCUUUCUCUCUGUCUCUCUCACUGUCCACUCUACCUGUCAAAAACAAACAAACAAAUAAACAAAAAAACCCUUGAUGGCAGCAUUUUGUUAUAGGACCAGAAACCAAAAAAAAAAAAAAAGAAUCUAUUCAGGUCUUUUCUGAACUAACCCCACUUUCCUUUUUGAGACUUAACUAUAUGUUGUGUGUUGAGGUAUUGGUAUUUGUACUGACAAGAGUAGUUUUAUCACAUUAAUGCUUUCAUACAUAUGUCACUGCUAUCAGAUUAUGUUUAUCCAUUAAGCAGAUAUUUCAUCAAGCACUAACUAUGCACCAGAAAAAAAAUAAAUUACUCUUCCUGCUCAGAGGCCAAAGGUCAGCAGGCCCAAGUUAAAAAAGAAUGGGGAUUUUGAUUUGAUUGAGAUUUAUCGUCAUGUCUUAAAAUGGAACUAAUACUAGUAGUUACUUCAUAAAAUUUCUGUUAGAAUCCAAUCAGAUUAUAUAGGCAAAGUUCUAAGCCACUGGCUUAAUGUGUUACAUAUGUUCAACAUAUUAGCUAUCAUGCUAGCAGAGUGCCUGACAUAUGCCAGAGCUUUAAUAUUUGCAGAAUGAAUGAUGUAAGAUUGAUUGCACACAGGAUUUAACAUAGUAGUGACCUUGCAAAUUACAAGUGCUUAUCACAGACACUGAUUCCUAGGUUCUAGCCAUUUAAUUCGUUCUCUACAGGUUUGCAUAUACAGUGAGGUUUACCCUGAAGACAUCCUGUUUUCAAAGACACAAUGUACAGCUAACUUUUAAGUCUAUUUUAGUCAUAGGCACAGCAAAAAUCACACUGGAUUGGAGAAAACCUAGCACCUUCAAUGAUUUCUUCCCCCAGAUUCAUGCUUGUCAUUGGAAUUCACUUCCUAGACUUCUCUGGACUUUUUUAUUCCUCCUGUAAAAUGAGGAGGAUUUGACUAAAUUUUAUAGUUUUCCUUCUAGCAUUAACCAUCUGUGAUUCUAAAUCAUUUUCACAGUAAGACUCUGAAAGGCCUUUAAAAAUGAGAUGAAUAAAAAGUCAGCUUUUGGUUUACCUCUAUGACUUUCCUUGUUUGUACGGGUAAAUGUAAUUAACAUAAUAAUGAUCAUUGCUAACAUUGUCUGAGAAAUUCUAAAUGCCAGACAACUUAAGUGCCUUCACCUAGAUUUUCUCAUUUCACACUCAAAACAAGCCCAAAUAAAGUAUUAUUAUCUACGUUUGAAAGAAAAUCUAACAAAAGCCCUCUCAAACUUAGAGAAGUAUAUUGCCCAAGGUCAUACAAGCAUAAGUUAAAAGCAGAAUGAGGACAUCUGGUCUUAAACACGGUAGACCGUACAUGUAGCAGAUUCUAUAGAUACUUAGCAUGCAUUCCAACAGGGACACAAACACAGUCCUGCCUUUCACCCCAGAAAUGUGCUUGCUCUUCAAAAAAAAAAAAAAAAAAAAAAAGUUUUACCUUUUGAAUAAAUCUCACAAGUACAGAGCCCUCUUCUUGGGUCUGAGUUGAUAAGUUAGGGACUACAGGGGGUGUGGGAGAUGUCAAAUGGCCAGAGACAUAAUUUUGUCAGCUGGCCCAUGGGGCUAAUGUGUAGGGAAAGAUGGUGGAUGUUCCUGAAAAUGAGAAGCCUCUAAGUAAAAUUUCUGGAUGGAAACUUUUCCUUUGGACUCCAUGGUGAUUGCAAAAAUAGACCCUAUUCUGAUGGUAUAUUGGUGAAGGUCACAAAGUUUAUUGUAGUUUUAUUAUUACUUUAGUGUCUGAAAUUUAUAGGUAAAAUGAAGAGGUUUAAUCAAAUGAAGAGGUUUAAUCAAAGAGGUUUAAAACAAAUGGAGAGUUUUUUUUAAUGCAAACUUAUCUUGUAUCAUUCACACUGUGGAGAAAAACACACAUUUGUAUUUUAAAGAGGGAAAAAAAAGAAUGAACCAUUCAUGUAUUCUACAACUCUGGUACAUAUAUUAAGUGAAUCCAAGUACCUGAAUCCACUUCAUAUACCAAGAGCUCUAUGGAUUUCAUUUCUCCAACAUGAAAACAUCUGAAAGAUUUCUCUACUCUGAAAUAGUUAAUUUCAAAUUUUCUCAAGGUAUUCUCCUCUGAGCCCCAUUACCAACACAUGAUUGUCACUGGAACAUGGCUUUACUGACACAUUGGUGUUAAAAGGCAGUGACAGAGCCAACAGGAGCAAACUGAAGCCAUUUAUAUAUACUGUAGAACUACACUGACAAUCCAAAGGAACACGCCAUCUGCAUUCUAUGUUGCUGCAACCUACUGAACUGUGGGUUUGCAAUUUCAGAAUGCAGAAUGUCAUGCCCGGCUCCACUUUAGGGAGCUCCCACAGCUGCUACUUUUGCUUCCCUGCCUCCAGAAUUCUGAUGCUGAAGUUAAUAUAUGAGGACAUUCUUGUGCAGUGAUGGAGACAUGGCAGUAGGGCAUGCUAGUGCACCAUACAUUUUUGUGCAUUUAUUUAUUCAAGCUGUGUGGCCUUUUUUCUCCCCCUUUCCUUUUGCAACUUAUCAACCUGAGCCCUCAGACACUCACACCCACACAAUGAUCUCAGCAGGCAAGGAGGAAAAGCAAAAGCAAAUGCACUUUAGGAAAAGAACAGGAAACCGACACUGAAAUGGCCAUUACCGGGCAUUUCAAUUUCACCUGUGGUUUCAGCUUCUGCUCCAAGUGUAUGCAGUGAAUGUGGCCUGAUUACCUUAAUUCAGUGAUAUUGGCAAUAAUCACAAUGGCAGGCAGUGCCUAAGAGAUUGCCCUUGACAGCAGAGUUGCAGAGAUGGAGAUAUGAAAAAUUUCCGUUGAGUACAACACACAAAAGGAAUAAUAGAGAGAUGCUCAGGAAUCCAUUUCCUGGUAGAAGGGUAGAUGGCAAAGACCUGAAUUCUUUUAGUGAUUAACUGUAGGUUUGAUGAGUUGAUCUCUUCCUAGUCCCUCCUAGCAUCACAAUUCUCAAUUCUGUGAGUGAAAAAAGGGCUGAGAUAAAUAACCACCAGUCAUCUGAGUGCUGAUUUGACUUAGGAUGGGGAAAAGAAAGUUUUAAAAAAUGAAUGAGAACUAAAUAUAAAAAUAAAAUCAAUUGAUUUCAAAGGCAAAACACCAAAGGCCAUUCCUUGAAUAAGAAGAAUCACAGCCUACUCAAAGAAUCCUUUUGAGUUGCAUAAUUGAGUGCUGAGAGGAAGCAAAGAUUCUGCCUUUGAUGACCAUGGCUACUUUAACUUAGGGGAGCUAUGGCAGGAGGGGAAUCAGACAUGGGGUGAAGGCAAGGGUUAGGAAUACUGCAUGUCACCAAUGCAAUUAAAUAGACUGAAGAAGGACCAGGGGAUGAUAAGAUGACAUAAAACACCGGUUUUGAAGGGUAUGCAGAGGAAGGCUGGGGUAGCACAGAUCCUAUACUCUUGAUUUUGUGACACUCUCAGAAAAGCCGAAUUAGCCACAACAAAGCAUAGCUCUUUAUAGAAGAGCUUACCUCUUGCCUACACAACACGAGCACCAGAAUUCCAACUGUAAUUACCACUUUGAGUUCACUUAUUUCAGGUUUCCUCAAUGGCAAGACCUCAAGAAAUUCUUAACAGACAUUAAAUGGACAGAAAAAACAUUAGCUGGCUGUGACUGACUCCAUGCAAUGGGAAGCCUUCUAUAAAGUUUAUAAAAGUACAUUUAGAUAAUGCACACAUAUGUGGGCAUUUCAAAAUGUUUAUGGAAAAUGGAAUUAAAAGUUCAUUUGUUAAAAGAAAAUUAUACGAUCAUUCCUAAGUGUGGGAUCCUCAAAAACUUCAUACAAAAUGUGUACUACAUAAAAACUAUGCACAGAUUUAAAAAAAAAAAAUUGCACCAAAAUAAACUUAUGUUUCAAAUUCAUUUUUCUAAGAAAUUUUAGAAGUAUGUCCCACAAACACUCACACCCAUAUAGUUGUGUGAAGUGUAUAUGUUCAAAUGUCCUUGAAAAUUCUGGAAUUAAAAGAUAAUGGGUGGGCCACUGUUAUGGUACAGGGGGUUAAGCUGCAACUUCCCAUACUGGAGUGCCAAUUUGAGUCCCCUCUCUCGCGGUUUUGAUCUAGCUUUCUCAAAUGUACCUGGGAAGGCAGCAGAAGAUGGUCCAAGUACUUGGGUCCCUGUCACCCACAUGGGAGACCCAGAUGGAGUUAGAGGCUCUGGGCUUUGGCCUAGCCCAGACCUGGCUGUUGCAGCCAUUUGGGGAGUGAACCAGUGGCUAGAAGAUCGGUUUCUGUCUCUCCCUCUCUCCCUGUUGCUCUUUCAAAUAAUUAUUAAACACAUCUUUUAAAAAUCCCAAUACAUGUAUUCAUAUAUAUAUAUACACAAAGCACACUUUCAUGAAAUUUGUGAAUACUCCUAAAUAUGUACACAUAUCAUACUUAUUUGUAGCUAUGUGUACUCUUACAUUUGCACACAUGUAUAUGCAAGUAUGUCUGUAUACUCAUCUCUAAGUGAAAAUAAUAAAAAGUGGGCUUCUGCGAUCUCCCUUUAAUUCCUCCUCAGAAAUAAAUGUAGAAACAGACACUUGUGACCACAAGAAAGGUUUCCUCCCAGAUUCAAUUUUGUCUUCCACUUCACUGGCUGCCCUGAAGACUGCAUCACUUGAAAAAUGCUGUUUGGUUCCAAUAUUGCAUGUCGUGUGAACAGCUCACACUGGAAUGACCAUUUAUAUCAGGUUGGUUUAUCAAGCAGAGAUCAGGCAAUAUCUCCAUUUUUGGUUUUCUAUAAUUUAUUCACUCAUUCUUUCACUCAACAAAUAUUUAUGAAGCACCUAUUACAUGGCAAGCCUUAUUAUAGCAUAUAGCACUGAGCAUAAGGGAUAAAAAAAAUCCCUGUUCUUAUGGAGCUUACAUUCUUACAUUAUAUAGUUAAAUAAAUAAACAAGCAACUGUCAGUUUAUGAAGCAUUAUAAAGGGAAAUAGGGAGUAAACAGCCAGUAGGGAAUACAGAACUUUAUAUAUCAAGCAAGUUAGUGGGGAGAGAUAAUGUGUGAGCAGAACCUGGAAGGGAGUGAGGGAGGGAGCCAUGCUAAUACAAUGUUCUAAGCAAGUGACAAAGCAAGGGACAAAGAAUCCAAGCAGAGACUUGAGCACAAGUCUUCCCAAGUAGAUCUCUACUUUGUGAUCUACCUACACCUGUUUCUGAUUUUCUCUGUCACCUAACAAGGGUUUGGGAAUUAAGAAUACUUGUUACUCUCUAUCACUUCAUUCUAUGAAUUGCCCAUGCCAGAUACCCAGGGUACACUCAUGUUCUUCAACUAGCAAUCCUGGUCAUGAGGGCUCUCUGUCCUUCUGUUUCUUCCUUGUCUUUACUUUGGGAAUAGUCAGGAUUUUACAGCUCCUACAAUACUCAAUUUUCAAGUUUAGUACUACUUUAAACAAAUCAUCUGUGCUGUACCUGUUAGUUAGCCUGUAACACUUUUCAAUGCUUUCUCUUUCCCUGUAUUAAAACAUCAUUCCUGCAACAGAAGCCUAUUCAUUUCAUGGGAAUCUUUGUUCCAGUUCAGCUUAAUUUCACUCUGUGAAUAUCUCAGUAAUCUGCUAUAAGAAAGCAUCAUAUGUGGGUCACUUUGCAUAUUACUACUUGUCAAAGGAUAAUGUAUAGAGCACCAAAUUAAUAGAGAAAAAUGGUCAUGUCAUCUAAUUAUCUGUGAAAUUCUUAGGGCAGGUUGGUUAAAAAUAAGUUAACAACCAUAUGGUACCAUCUUACCUAUUAAUUUUGCAAAAAUUACAAAAUAAUGAUGCAAUCUAAUGCUGCCCACCUUGCAGCUGAAUUACAACUGUGGUUAAAUUAUCAGUGGUAGUGUAAAAUGAUAAAAGUCAUGAUUAGGUGUUUGAUAAUGUUUGGAGAGCUACAGAGGUUUUAAUCCUCUGUAAUCCAUUAAAACCAUUUCUAGAAACUUACUCGAUGUAUAUGGAAUCACUUAUUAUAGCAAAAUAAGGGAUGCAUCUAAUUACUUAAUAUUCAGAGUGGUUAAGUAAAAUUUAGAGCAUCAAUCCAAUUAAUGGUAUUCAGUGAUUAAAAAGAAAAACACUGAGGAUUUGUCACAUUGA